UAUUUUAUGUGUGAAAUAACAUCUUCAAUUUUUUUUAAUAUUUUCGAUUACUUCAUAUCUACGUGAUACAUUACAUAACUAUAUACAAAAAUAGUGUAGGUAGAGAAUAUGGUCAAUAACAUAAAUUAAAUGUUCACCUUCGGAUGUGACAAGCAUACAGAUUUAUUACAUACAGAAUACAGAAGGAGUCUUCAACAUCAUGAGGCUUACAGAGUCUUCAGCCGCAACGGAGCAACGGUGACUACUUACCAUCAGAUGGGCCGUACCCUCGCUCGCCUACAAAGGCAAUAGGAAUAAGUCAAUCGAAUGGAAUGGCAGAUAGCCAUUCUGAUUUAUACUACAGGAUCAUCGCAGACGGAAAAGAGAGCCAUUUGAAGAUGGAGAGGACAUGGGCCAUUUUCGGCCCAGCUACUCGUGCUCUCAAGGACAUUAAUGAAAUAUCUAUAGAAAAAAACAUUUCAUUUUUACAUACUUAUUGUAAAAGGGGAUUGCCCACUCUCCAUAGUGUGCUAGGCCCAAGGUGGACAUUAAAUAUUACUAUAAAAAUGGACUGAUUCAAAUUCUUAAAUGUAUUAGAUAUCUAAAAAAUAUAUUGAAAUUGACGCCACUAUUAUAAAAAAUAUAAUAAAAAUAAAAAACUCGUUUUGAGGUUAAUUUUCUAUAUAAAUACCUCAAGAACUUUUCUUUUUUUAAUGUUUAAGAUGUUCCUAAUGUAUUUUUAUCCAAUUGUAGUUAUUAGGGUAUAAAAAACACACAUACUUCUUUAAAUAUCUAUAUUAUUCUAUAUUUUCUUCAUCUUCAUACACAAUUAGUAAAUCAUCUAAAAAUAGCACAGGAGAGCAUAUACACGGUUUUAAAUCUCGGUCAGGUUAAAACCACAAUUCACACAAUGGUUUUCAGCCGUAGUAUGAAACGUUAUUGAUAAAAGCAAAAUAAAUCGAAGAAAAAUCAAAACACAUCCAUUUUGAACGCAAGCACAAGCAGCAAGCGAAGUGUCAGUCAGUCAGAUUAAAAUCAGUGUUGUCAGUAUAAAGAAAAAUAAUUACAUGAAAUUCAUAUAUCGAUCAUUUUUUUAAAUAACCGAUAUUGGAUUUAUUUCUUAAUCUUUUUUUUACGAGUACACAUUAUAUUUUAUUUUUUAUGUUUUUGUUUUAGUUGUACAUAUUUAAAUAACAAUACAAGUUAAGUUUUUUUUUAUUGCUUAGAUGGGUGGACGAUCUCACAGCCACCCUGGUGUUAAGUGGUUACUGGAGCCCACAAACAUCCACAACGUAAAUGCGCCACCCACCUUGAGAUAUAAGUUCUAAGGUCUCAAGUAAAGUAACAAGUUAAAGUCCAAUGGGUAUGUCUUUGAUGUUAUUUUAUGUGCUGAAAAUUGAUUAAAAUCGAUUGAUUAAUGAUAAUAUUUAAAAUGAUUUAUUUAUAUGUUUUUUUAUAUACUUAAAAUGUUUACUUAAUACGUAAAAGGUUUUGAAGUUGGCAAUAUUUUUCCCGCAAAAAUAAAAUUCUUGUUUUUUUCAAUAGAGUUACUUUUUUUAAACUACUUAUUGUAAACUGUAGUGGCGCUUAUUUGGAAGAAAGUAAAUGCAUAUUUAUUUAUGACAAAAUUAA